rnacentral:rRNA from 1 species
UACGUAGGGGGCUAGCGUUAUCCGGAAUUACUGGGCGUAAAGGGUGCGUAGGUGGUUUCUUAAGUCAGAGGUGAAAGGCUACGGCUCAACCGUAGUAAGCCUUUGAAACUGGGAAACUUGAGUGCAGGAGAGGAGAGUGGAAUUCCUAGUGUAGCGGUGAAAUGCGUAGAUAUUAGGAGGAACACCAGUUGCGAAGGCGGCUCUCUGGACUGUAACUGACGCUGAGGCACGAAAGCGUGGGGAGCAAACAGG